UGAGUAGGCGGUUAUAUAUGUCAGGUGUAAAAGGCUAUGGCUUAACCAUGGUUAGCACUUGAAACUGUAUGACUUGAGUGCAGGAGAGGUAAGCGGAAUUCCUAGUGUAGCGGUGAAAUGCGUAGAUAUUAGGAGGAACACCAGUGGCGAAGGCGGCUUACUGGACUGUAACUGACGCUGAGUCACGAAAGCGUGGGUAGCAAACAG
rnacentral:rRNA from 1 species